UCAUUCAAGAAACCAACUAUAAACAUUUAAGUUUUAUAUAAACCACAUUUAUGGAUUGCUGAAUAGCAGACAGUUUUUUUUCUUGGAGAGUGAAGAAAACAAUAAUUAAGAAACAUAUUUUAAAGGGCAAAAACUUGUGUGCAUCCUCCCCAGAAUUUAUUAGUCUCCAAUUAUGGUUUGAUAAUUAUAAUUUGGAUUUAAUUAGGGCGGAGUGUGCCUCAUGUUGAAAUGCUGCAAUUCAUCACAUGUCAUCUUGCUCAUGGACAAAAUUCACAAAUUACCAUCGUUUAAGAAUGCUGCUUUUGAGACGGACAGAGAUUCUAGAAAAACUUUGCAGAGAGAAGCAAACCAGAGCACUAGCACUGAUGAGAUUAAUGCUAUCCAUGCCAUGUUCGAUUCUGAGAUAGAAUGUAGCCGCAAUAAGUCACUGGGGCAUUUCGUCGAACAAUCUGUACAUCAGAUUCUUGUGUGAGGCCUGAACAAGAAUCAAAUAAGGAGAAUAGAACAUAAUAGACCAACAAACACCAAGAACCCUGAUAGGCAUACCUCAGACAUAAGUGUGAAUUUCAACAACCAAUCAUCAACUAGAGAAAGACUGACCGAAGAGCCGAGCCUACGGUAUUGAGGCGGUGGAGUUCGUCGGGCCACCGUGAGUGGAGAGAGAGAAGAUGGGUCGUGGUGGAAUGUGGAUCUGCUGUUUCAAUGACGAUUGCAGUCUUGCAGACUUCUCCGACAGCCAUUAGUUUUCUCAAAUUUCUUUUUCUUUUCAUGUUUUAUUUUAUUUGAAUUUGAAUAUUAUAUUUUUUGAGCACCGAUGAAUUAUUAUAUUCCUUUUGUCCAUAAAAGAACUUCAUACUUUUCUUUUU